rnacentral:rRNA from 1 species
UACGGAGGUGGCGAGCGUUGUCCGGAAUUAUUGGGCGUAAAGAGCGUGUAGGCGGUCCGGUAAGUCAGCUGUGAAAGUCAAGGGCUCAACCCUUGAAAGCCGGUUGAUACUGUCGGGCUAGAGUCCGGAAGAGGCGAGUGGAAUUCCCGGUGUAGCGGUGAAAUGCGCAGAUAUCGGGAGGAACACCAAUGGCGAAGGCAGCUCGCUGGAACGGUACUGACGCUGAGGCGCGAAAGCGUGGGGAGCGAACAGG